UUUAUUCUUGUGUUUUGUAGUUAUUUGUUACAUAAAAUUUCUCAUACCAUAAUAUGUUAAUAAAUGCUAGAAUUCCUUUAUAAUGAAAAGCAAGUAUCUGCAUAUAAAUAAAUAAAUAAAUAAUUGAAUUUAAAAAUUAAAACAAAAGAUUUUUUUCCUGAAAGUUUGGGCCCAAAACGUGGAUGCACAUUAUACACAGCAAAAUACGGUACUUUUGUCCACCCUUAUCCUGCUCAGAAUUAAACACAAUUAAUUGUUUAGUGAAUCAUGUAACAAUUCAUGUCUGUUAUAAAUCCUGGAAAAUUCAGUUUCUAUGUUGGUAGGUAUUUCCACUCUGACAUCUCUAUUCUCUUGUUUUGAAAAAUAUAGCUUGUAUUGGGGAAGAUAGGGAGUGGAGGGAUUGAGCAAAAAGGAAAAACGACUCAUGGACAUGGACAGCAGUGUGGGGACUGCAGGGGGAGAAGGUAUAAGGGGUUAAAUGGUAGUGGAAACAAUACAAUAAAAAUUUUUUUAAAGAAAAUA